UUGUUCCUACGGGAGGCAGCAGUGGGGAAUAUUGCACAAUGGGCGCAAGCCUGAUGCAGCGACGCCGCGUGCGGGAUGGAGGCCUUCGGGUUGUAAACCGCUUUUGUUCAAGGGCAAGGCACGGUCUUUGGCCGUGUUGAGUGGAUUGUUCGAAUAAGCACCGGCUAACUACGUGCCAGCAGCCGCGGUAAUACAUAGGGUGCAAGCGUUAUCCGGAUUUAUUGGGCGUAAAGGGCUCGUAGGCGGUUGGUUGGGUUCGGUGUGAAAGUAAAUCGCUUAAAGGUGGAUUUGAGCCGGGUAAGGGG
rnacentral:rRNA from 1 species